rnacentral:rRNA from 1 species
UACGUAGGGGCCGAGCGUUGUCCGGAGUUAUUGGGCGUAAAGCGCGCGCAGGCGGCCUCGCGCGCCCGACGCGAAAGCCCCCGGCUUAACCGGGGAGGGUCGUUGGGGACGGCGGGGCUUGAGGGCGGGAGAGGGUGGUGGAAUUCCCGGUGUAGUGGUGAAAUGCGUAGGGAUCGGGAGGAACACCCGUGGCGAAGGCGGCCACCUGGGCCGACCCUGACGCUGAGGCGCGAAGGCGUGGGGAGCGAACAGG